GACGAACGCUGGCGGCGUGCCUAAUACAUGCAAGUCGAGCGAGUCUGCCUUGAAGAUCGGAGUGCUUGCACUCUGUGAAACAAGAUACAGGCUAGCGGCGGACGGGUUAGUAACACGUGGGUAACCUGCCCAAGAGAUCGGGAUAACACCUGGAAACAGAUUCUAAUACCGGAUAACAACAGAUGAUGCCUAUCAACUGUUUAAAAGAUGGUUCUGCUAUCACUCUUGGAUGGACCUGCGGUGCAUUAGCUAGUUGGUAGGGUAACGGCCUACCAAGGCGAUGAUGCAUAGCCGGGUUGAGAGACUGAUCGGCCACAUUGGGACUGAGACACGGCCCAAACUCCUACGGGAGGCAGCAGUAGGGAAUCUUCCACAAUGGACGCAAGUCUGAUGGAGCAACGCCGCGUGAGUGAAGAAGGGUUUCGGCUCGUAAAGCUCUGUUGUUGGUGAAGAAGGACAGGGGUAGUAACUGACCUUUGUUUGACGGUAAUCAAUGAGAAAGUCACGGCUAACUACGUG
rnacentral:rRNA from 1 species